UACGUAGGGUGCAGGCGUUAAUCGGAAUUACUGGGCGUAAAGCGUGCGUAGGUGGUGAGUUAAGUCUGUCGUGAAAGCCCCGGGCUCAACCUGGGAAUGGCGAUGGAUACUGGCUCGCUAGAGUGCGGUAGAGGAGAGUGGAAUUCCCGGUGUAGCAGUGAAAUGCGUAGAGAGUCGGGAGGAACAUCAGUUGCGAAGGCGGCUCUCUGGACCAGCACUGACACUGAGGCACGAAAGCGUGGGGAGCAAACAGG
rnacentral:rRNA from 1 species